AUCCUGGAGAGAUUUGGGAGUGCUCGAAAGAGAGCCUGAACACAGGUGCUGCAUGGCUGUCGUCAGCUCGUGUCGUGWGAUGUUGGGUUAAGUCCCGCAACGAGCGCAACCCUUGUCAUUAAUUGCCAUCAUUCAGUUGGGCACUUUAAUGAGACUGCCGGUGACAAACCGGAGGAAGGUGGGGAUGACGUCAAGUCCUCAUGGCCCUUAUGGGUAGGGCUUCACACGUCAUACAAUGGUCGGUUCAGAGGGUUGCCAACCCGCGAGGGGGAGCCAAUCUCAGAAAGCCGAUCGUAGUCCGGAUCGCAGUCUGCAACUCGACUGCGUGAAGUCGGAAUCGCUAGUAAUCGCGGAUCAGCAUGUCGCGGUGAAUACGUUCCCGGGUCUUGUACACACCGCCCGUCACACCAUGGGAGCGGGUUCUGCCAGAAGUAGUUAGCCUAACCGCAAGGAGGGCGAUUACCACGGCAGGGUUCGUGACUGGGGUGAAGUCGUAACAAGGUAGCCGUAGGGGAACCUGCGGCUGGAUCACCUCCUUUCU
rnacentral:rRNA from 1 species